GACGAACCGUGCGAACGUUGUUCGGAAUCACUGGGCUUAAAGGGCGCGUAGGCGGCAACUCAAGGCCGGGGUGAAAGCCCCCGGCUCAACCGGGGAAGUGCCUUGGAGACUGGGUUGCUCGAGGGAGGUAGGGGUCGAGGGAACUUCUGGUGGAGCGGUGAAAUGCGUUGAUAUCAGAAGGAACGCCGGUGGCGACAGCGCUCGACUGGACCUUUUCUGACGCUCAGGCGCGACAGCGUGGGGAUCAAACAGG
rnacentral:rRNA from 1 species